rnacentral:rRNA from 1 species
GACGAACGCUGGCGGUGUGCUUAACACAUGCAAGUGGUGCGACGAACCAGAGCUUGCUCUGGGGCAAAGCCGCGAACGGGUGAGUAACACGUGGGUAAUCUACCCCGAUGACCGGGACAACCCGAGGAAACUCGGGCUAAUACCGGAUGUGGUGCGGAGACAUAAGUCUCUUCACUAAAGGUAGCUUCGGCUUCCGCAUUGGGAGGGGCCCGCGGCCCAUUAGCUUGUUGGUGGGGUCAAGGCCUACCAAGGCAACGAUGGGUAGCUGGUCUGAGAGGACGAUCAGCCACACUGGGACUGAGACACGGCCCAGACUCCUACGGGAGGCAGCAGUGGGGAAUCUCGCGCAAUGCGCGAAAGCGUGACGCAGCAACACCGCGUGAGGGAAGAAGGCCUUAGGGUUGUAAACCUCUUUCAGAUGGGACGAAGGUUCUCCGGUGAAUAGCCGAGAGGAUUGACGGUACCGUCAGAAGAAGCUCCGGCUAACUACG